ensembl:miRNA
AGGGGCUGCACCCUGCUCUGGCUGGUCAAACGGAACCAAGUCCGUCUUCCUUGGAGGUUUGGUCCCCUUCAACCAGCUACAGCAGUGCUGAAAUC